CCCAGCAUCCUGAGCAAUCACUCAUGUACUUUCUUCUCUGUCGAUGGCCUGUUCUGGACAUUUCCUAUCAAUCACACACGGCGUGACGCUUUGCGACUGGCUUCUUUCGUUUAGCAUCGCGCUCUCAAGGUCCGUCCACGCGGCAGCACUUCAUUCCUUUUUGUGGCCCAGUGCUAUCCACGUUUUAUUCACCCACCUGCCAGCUGACGGGCAUCUGGAUCGUUCAUACGUUUUGGCUGUUAGGGAUAACGCAGCUUGCCACACGUGCAUGGGUGUGCCCUGUCACGGUCACUUCUCUUCCGCGUUAUACCUACAGGUGGCAUUUUCCGGGUUACGUGGAAGAUGCGCGGUUAGCCUUUUAAGGAGUAUAUACUCAAAGGAAGGAAAAUGCUGUAAGGAGCACCCCGGGCCCACCAUCCAGGGCCACCAAGUACCAACCUUCGCCAGUUCUGAUUCAUCUGCCUCCCAUCCUGCCCCCCACCCCCCCGCCCCGUGACUCUCUGAAGAGUUCCAAAGCCAAUUCAAGUGCUGACUUGAGGUUGCUCCCUUGGCUGAGAGGUCGGCGCUUGUCUUUUGUCCCAGACCAACAGAGCCUCCUACACCCACAUCCUUGUGUGGACGGAAGUGGGGAGAAUGUGCGGACUGGGGCACGGUCCCUAGUGGGUCGACGUGGGGUGGAAAGGAAGCAGCUCCUGAGAAAAGCAGGACUGGCUACAUAGUUGGCACAGGGAAAAUGUGGAGCCCUUGGUUCACAAAGUAUUAAGAAGUUCAAGAUGACAACAUCGGAGCAUUAAAGCAAACAUAGGCCUUGUGCAACCGUCUGUGUCACGUCCCCAGGAGGCCAGCGAAAGGGUGCCCAGGCAGAAUGAGUUCAUCAGACACGGGAAGUUAGAGCCUUGGUGCCUAGGAGAGACCUAAGCACCCCUCACCUCCAAGGCUUGGGACGUUUCCAAGGAAAGUUGGGUCUCCCACGUGGGAGACAGUGGCACGUGGGACAGAGUUCAAGCCUAUUCCAUUGGAAUCUCCAAAAAUAAGAUGACCCCAGUUGACUUGUGGGUUAUAAGUACUUAAAAAAAAAGAAUUAGCCAUUGGCCUUAAGCCUUCCUCCCUAAGAGCCUGCAGUUGUUUUAUUUAAGCCACGCCAUUUUGUCCUGGACCCUGAGUGUCCCCUGAUCUCACAGUGGGUGACGGGGCUUCCGGCUGAAGAACAGAGGCCCCCUGGUUAGCAAACAGUCCAGCGCAGCGGCAGGACCCGGGAUGCCCUUUCGAGGUAGGUGGCCAUGGCGGACACCGGCAGCCAAUCAUGGCGCCCCAGACCCUCUCAGCUCCAAAGAGCUCCACCGACCAAAUGAACCGGAUUUCCCGCGCUCGCGUCUCAACCCAGGAACGUAUCAGCUUUACUCAAGACCGCGAGAGAUUCGAAGCCCCCAAGGGUGUGUUUGGGUGAUGCCCAGCGAGGCCCUCAUGCCACCAGGGCCCUGUCACGGAGGGUAUACCACACGGCUGGGAAGGGGGGCCAGGGGACGAGAGAGGGACUCCUUGAGGAAAGAACAGGUAAGGACCUUGCACCUCCUCCGGCGGCACGUGCAGAGGCACAUAGUACUCAUCUGGAUAAUCCAGCAUAAACUCAUCUCCAGAUCCUUGACUUAAACACCUCUUUUGCCACACAAGGUAAUGUUCAUAGGUUCCGGUGACUGGGAGGGUAGACGUAUCCGGUAUCUCUCUGGGACCCACCAUGCAGCCCACCACAGAUUAUUUGCAUUAAGAAGCCAGAGAAGCAAGGAUCCCCACCACUACUCCAUUGGCCUGCCAGAAAUGUAAGGAAAGAGUAUUACCCUUUUAUAUUGUGCCUGAGUGUGGACUUCAUCUUAUUCAGUUGUUUAAUGUUUGUUUAUUUUUGAGAGAGAGAAAGAGGGCAAGCAGCGGAGGGGCAGCAAGAGAGGGAGAUGCAGAAUUUGAAGCAGGCUCCACGCUCUGAGCUGUCUGCGCAGAGCCCGACGUGGGGCUCGAACUCACAAACUGCGAGAUCAUGACCUGAGCGGAAGUCUGACGCUUAACUGAGCCACCCAGGCGCCCCUGGACACCGUUUUAAAUACACUAUGUUAUGUCAUUGCCCCAAAUUGUAAAAAUAAUACCAUGCUCAUGGCAAGAAAAAUAGUACAGAAGAGAAAAAUGUGGGAAAUGAAGGACCCCCUUGGCCAUUUCCCUUUAAUUUCCCUUUCUAAAAAGUAGCCACUGUAUGCAGUUUGCAUAAUCUCCAUACAUUUUCAAGCCAUGUUCAAGUGAAUUUUUUUUUUUUUUUUUUUUUUUUUUUUUUUGCUCAUAACGUCGAGAGAGCCAGGGGCGUUCCAAUGUAUCUUGAAGAGGUGACAGCCCAGACCCACCCCAUUCUUUCUAAUGACUUCUAGCAUUGCACCAUACGUAACCUGUCCCCUACCGGCCAGCAUUUCACUUAACGGCAGGAUUUUGCCAUUAUAACAUACACUCUCUUUGGCACGGGUCUAAGUACACUCCUAGGAUACAUUCCUAGAAGCGGGAUUUCUCAGUCCAGAGCAUAUGUGCAUUUCUAAUUCCGACAGCCGCUGUCCGGUGCCCAUCCACAGCACAUGCGCGGGGUGCCUGUUUCCGCACCCUCACCCGCCCCAUCAAGGGCACAGUCCGUUAGGGGAAGCAAGUCGCAAGUGAGGUACGCGGGCUUCCCACGUGGCCCCGGGUGAGGUGGACGUGGCCCCUGAGCUUUCCGGGAUGAUAACCUGUUCAGAGUUCUCAUCAGCUUGGGUUUUAUAAACAAAGGCAGAGUCUGGGGAGGGGAGCCAGAACCGUGCAGGGAGAAGCGUUGUGCAGCUCAGUAUUUAUUUCUUUAGUGCAGUUAGAACUUAAAUAUGGUCAAAACAUAUUCUUCUUUUAAUUUACACAAACAAAUAUGUUCCCUGGCUGACACCUCCGGUGCCAAGUUUCUAGGAGAAAUGAAAUUCUGCUGUGAGAUUAUAAACCAACCACUUGGGAGAAGAUGGGAACAGAAAAGCCCCUGCAAGUUUGCUUUUCACGUCCAGAACUGGCUGCUGAGAGGUGUCUCUUUCUGUGUUCGCUGCAGAUAAGCCCGCCAGUAAUUUUAGCGAAUGAGCCGUGGCACACAUAAAGGCCAGAGGAUGGAAACGCUCCGGGUUUUGAUAAAAAAGCAGUUCUGGCUCGGCUCCCUCCUGCUGGUCGCGCGAAGACCUAUCCGGAGAAGGGCUGAUGAAUUGAGGAACAAGAAACGAGGCCAACGUGAGUCUCCUUUCAAGCGCUGUGCUAAUAUGAAACCAAACAACUUGAAAUUGUUCCAAGAGGGGAUUAAAGCAACAUGUUAUUUUGAGUGAUUGCUUAAUUUAUUGAGCUGCGGCUAGAUCUGUAAUGAAAUACAGCCCUUGCAACUGAUAACGUCCUGCUGCAAUUGAACUUCUACAAUUAAGGAAUGUUUUCCAGGAGGUCCUGUGGAACCGCUUAGAACUUUUCGUCUUGGUGGCAGGGUGCUGCUGAGCGCUCACUUUCAUGGCAAGUUUGUUUCGUUUUGUUUUUUUAAAGAGCGACAGGCCGAUGUUAACAAGGAAAAUAAACGGGCAUUUUACUGAA